rnacentral:rRNA from 1 species
UACGUGGAGUCCAAGCGUUAUCCGGAUUUACUGGGCGUAAAGCGUCCGUAGGUGUCUGGCUAAGUCUUCGGUGAAAUCUCCGGGCUUAACUCGGAAAUUGUCGAGGAAACUAGCUAGAUUGAGUACGGCAGAGGCAGAUGGAAUUCUUGGUGUAGAGGUAAAAUUCGUUGAUAUCAAGAAGAACACCAGUGGCGAAGGCGAUCUGCUGGGCCGUAACUGACACUGAGGGACGAAAGCGUGGGUAGCGAACGGGAUUAGAUACCCCGGUAGUCCACGCCGUAAACGAUGGGUACUAGGCAUCUGAGGAAUAGACCCCUUGGGUGUCGAAGCUAACGCGUUAAGUACCCCGCCUGGGGAGUACGGUCGCAAGACUAAA